GGAAGGUGCAAGCGUUAAUCGGAAUUACUGGGCGUAAAGCGCGCGUAGGCGGUUAGAUAAGUCGGGUGUGAAAGCCCCGGGCUCAACCUGGGAACUGCAUUCGAUACUGUUUGACUAGAGUGUGAUAGAGGGAGGCGGAAUUCCGCAUGUAGCGGUGAAAUGCGUAGAGAUGCGGAGGAACACCAAUGGCGAAGGCAGCCUCCUGGAUUAACACUGACGCUGAGGUGCGAAAGCGUGGGGGGAGCAAACAGGAUUAGAUACCCUGGUAGUCCACGCUGUAAACGAUGUCAACUAGCCGUUGGGAGCAAUUUGGCUCUUGGUGGCGCAGCUAACGCGAUAAGUUGACCGCCUGGGGAGUACGGUCGCAAGAUUA
rnacentral:rRNA from 1 species